GACUCUGUAGCUCAAUUGGAUAGAGCAUCCCCCUCCUAAGGGGAAGGUUGCCAGUUCGAACCUGGCCAGGGUCGCCA
rnacentral:tRNA from 1 species